UACCUCUGGUGUACCAGUUGUUCUGCCAAGAGCACCGCUGGGUAGCUACGUAUGGAUUAGAUAAUCGCUGAAAGCAUCUAAGUGAGARACUAACCUCGAGAUGAGAUUUCCCAUUCGUCAGAAGUAAGACCCCUGAGAGACGAUCAGGUAGAUAGGCUAGAAGUGGAAGUGUAGUGAUGCAUGGAGCGGACUAGUACUAAUAGGUCGAGGACUUAACCAAG
rnacentral:rRNA from 1 species